ensembl:lncRNA novel transcript
CGUGGAUGAGUCACGCAGCCUUUUCCUCACCACACAGAGGGCGUCUAGAUCUCUUCUGGCUUGUUUGAUGAAAUACGGACGUAUCUACCUCAAAACAAUGGUUGAGGCUCAGAACAGAACCUGACACAGAAUACGCCCUCAGGUAUCGGUGUUGGCUGCUUGUGACUGACUUUGGCAAGUAAGAUCAGUACCCGGCACCUCUGGGCACACAGGGCCCGGGCUGCAUCCACUGUGCCAGGGACCUGGUGCCGGGCUGGGCAGCAAGUCAGUAUCACAUCAGCAGGCGUGGGCCGUGGUGAGCCUCUCCCUGCCCUCCCGCUGGAAUAGAAAGCUGAUCCCGACGUCCCACUCCGACCCACGGUCAGGAAGCCGUCCUGUCCAGGAAGGUGGCUGAGGUACAUCCCUGAACACAGUAGGCCACAGCAUCAUGCAGCGGAGGGCCAGUGGCCGCUAUUCUUCCUGCUGGUGUUCCACUCGGCCCGCAGCUCACAGCAAGUCUAUGCGGAACUGUGCAACCCACAUGCUUUGAUUUUCA